UACGAAGGGGGCUAGCGUUGCUCGGAAUCACUGGGCGUAAAGCGCACGUAGGCGGAUUGCUAAGUCAGGGGUGAAAUCCUGGAGCUCAACUCCAGAACUGCCUUUGAUACUGGCGAUCUCGAGUCCGGGAGAGGUGAGUGGAACUCCUAGUGUAGAGGUGGAAUUCGUAGAUAUUAGGAAGAACACCAGUGGCGAAGGCGGCUCACUGGUCCGGUACUGACGCUGAGGUGCGAAAGCGUGGGGAGCAAACAGG
rnacentral:rRNA from 1 species